GAAUACCCUAUGCUAUUUGAAGUCCGUAAUACAGCAGCAGAACGUACUUCACACUGUGGUGUCCUAGAGUUCAUUGCAGAAGAAGGCAUGAUCUACAUGCCAUAUUGGAUGAUGCAAAAUC